rnacentral:rRNA from 1 species
GCUUAGCCCUAAACCUAGAUAUCUGAUUAAACAAAUUUAUCCGCCAGAGAACUACUAGCAACAGCUUAAAACUCAAAGGACUUGGCGGUGCUUUAUAUCCCUCUAGAGGAGCCUGUUCUAUAAUCGAUAAACCCCGAUACACCUCACCAUCUCUUGCUAAUUCAGUUUAUAUACCGCCAUCUUCAGCAAACCCUAAAAAGGAAGAAAAGUAAGCACAAACAUUUUAACAUAAAAAAGUUAGGUCAAGGUGUAACCCAUGAGGUGGGAAGCGAAUGGGCUACAUUUUCUAUCAUAGAACACUUUUACGAAUACCCUAAUGAAAUAAAGGGUUAAAGGAGGAUUUAGGAGUAAACUGAGAAUAGAGAGCUCCAU